GACGUAGGGCGCGAGCGUUGUCCGGAUUUAUUGGGCGUAAAGAGCUCGUAGGCGGCUUGUCGCGUCGACUGUGAAACCCGACGGCUCAACCGUGUGGUCUGCAGUCGAUACGGGCAGGCUAGAGUUCGGUAGGGGAGACGUGGAAUUCCUGGUGUAGCGGUGAAAUGACGCAGAUAUCAGGAGGAACACCGGUGGCGAAGGCGGGUCUCUGGGCCGAUACUGACGCUGAGGAGCGAAAGCGUGGGGAGCGAACAGG
rnacentral:rRNA from 1 species